GUUCUUUAAUGACAGUACAACCAGGGCAGCGUGAUGGAGCCAUUCUUACGCCCAGUCGCAAAUACAAGUUGUCACCAACGAUGAUGUUGAGACAAGGUGAAAGAAAAAAAGGAUGUUUUGUUGCCUCCUUCAUCUCAAAAAGAAAGGACUCCAGAGCUAUGGCUUUGGCCUGCUGAGCUUCCUGAAAACUCAGAAGAGAAAUAAUCAAGAGGAACCAAGGGUGAAAACCCUUAUUCUCACAGCAUUGCCUAGCACAGUGUGUCUGGGGCGUGUCUGUAGAAGAAUAACAUCAGAGUCGCCCUGGGAGCAGGUUAUGAAGACAGACACCCAAGGCCUACAGCCAGGAGGGUGUCCUGUGUGGUACAUGUGUGUGCUUCCCAACAUUCCCGAGUGAGUUGUGUGUCCCUACUGUGCUGGACACUACACAUAGCCUCACGGUAAAAUCCAGUAUGUUGAUUAGAACAGAUUCUUUGUUGAAAGCGACGACUAGAGAGUCUCUCAUUGAAGGUUACCUUUCUUCCUUUUCCUUUGAUAGAUGAGCUUCUGGAAUUUGAGCCUUGGAAAAAAUACACUGCCACAUUGAUAUUAUAUUCAGCUGUCAAUCAUCAUGCUGAAAAUGAAGGUAAAAGGGAAUGAGAAAAUACCAACUAGUAACCUGAUGGUUGUUGGAACCCAGCGAAAGAGGCCACCUUGCCUUUGAGCAACACACUCACAGUCAUGUGUUUGUUCUACGUGUCCUGCGCUCCGCCCUCUACACCAGGCCUGCUGUCACCACCCCGCAGCUCUCAGUGGUAGGAACAGGAUCACCAUGAAGUCUGUCUGAAGACCGUUGUGAAGCCAACCUAAUUUUUAUCAUGAUAAUCUGGGUCUUUUGAGUGAUAGUGGGACCCCUAGAGAUGCUUUCAGAACUUCUCAUGGUAUUCGGAAAUUAUGAAACAAUACUGAAAACUCAUCUGACUUUGAUUCAUACUGGAGGUGGGGCAGGAAGAGGGAUGGUUGACAUGGUAAUGACAAUAAGAAGGUCUCUGUUAAAUUUUAAUCUCAGAUAAACAACGAUUUUUUAAAAGUAUAAUGCAUUUGUCUGCUCAGGCUUCCAUAAGACAGGAUCAAAGGCUGAGUGGCUCAGACAACAGAGAUGCCUCUCUCACAGUUCUGGAAGCAGGGAGACCAAGAUGAGAGCAGCUGGAGGCUGGGCAUCUGGGGAGGACCUGCCCCUGCUGCAGGGCUGCCUUCCCCCCACCGUGUCCUCACCCUGAUGUCACCCUCUCUCUCUCUCAUAUAAGACAUGAAUCCCACUCUCAUGAUCCCAUCUGACCUUAAUUACCUUCCAAAGCCUCCGUCAGAUUGGGAGUUAGGACUUCAACAUCUGAAUUUGUGGAGGACACAUCCAUUAA
rnacentral:lncRNA from 12 species